rnacentral:lncRNA from 1 species
AAAACAUCAGUUAACAUUAACCAUCAUUCCAUAUGUUCACUUCCUGCCAGGCUCUGGGGAGGAAAGGGAGCCCAUGGCAGACCAGACCCCUGGCCGGCCAGGGUCCCCGGGCCUGCGAGGAGGACGUUCGUGGGCGAGUGUGUGGUGGUGGGUGAACUGCGGCAGAACCCGAGAUUGACAGCUGGAACCCUCUCCUCUUGCAGGUCUGGGUGAAAAGCGUGGGACCCUCAGCCCAGAGCCGCACAAGACUUGGAUUUGCUUUGGAAACCACUGUGCUUUUCAACAAGAUCGUUCAAAUGGCCUGGGUGGAGACGGGGAGCUGGAGAGUUGGGGAUGGAAGCCGAUUUUAAGCCUGGAGGAAUCCAAACUGCACACAGUAGUCCAAGGCCCUG